rnacentral:rRNA from 1 species
AUUGAACGCUGGCGGCAGGCUUAACACAUGCAAGUCGAGCGAGCGGCGGACGGGUGAGUAAUGUCUGGGAAACUGCCUGAUGGAGGGGGAUAACUACUGGAAACGGUGGCUAAUACCGCAUACCCUCAGAUGUGCCCAGAUGGGCUUAGCUAGUAGGUGGGGUAAGGGCUCACCUAGGCGACGAUCCCUAGCUGGUCUGAGAGGAUGAACAGCCACACUGGAACUGAGACACGGCCCAGACGCCGCCGGGAGGCAGCAGUGUGGAAGAUUGCACAAUGGGCGCAAGCCUGAUGCAGCCAUGCCGCGUGUGUGAAGAAGGCCUUCGGGUUGUAAAGCACUUUCAGCGAGGAGGCGUUACUCGCAGAAGAAGCACCGGCUAACUCCGUGCCAGCAGCCGCGGUAAUAC